UUGAUCAUGGCUCAGAUUGAACGCUGGCGGCAGCCCUAACACAUGCAAGUCGAGCGAAUGAGGUAGCUUGCUUACCUGAUUUAGCGGCCGGACGGGUGAGUAAUGUAUAGGGAGCUGCCCGAUAGUAGGGGGAUACCAGUUGGAAACGACUGUUAAUACCGCAUAAUGUCUACGGACCAAAGUGUGGGACCUUCGGGCCACAUACUAUCGGAUGCACCUAUAUGGGAUUAGCUAGUUGGUGGGGUAAUGGCUCACCAAGGCGACGAUCCCUAGCUGGUUUGAGAGGAUGAUCAGCCACACUGGGACUGAGACACGGCCCAGACUCCUACGGGAGGCAGCAGUGGGGAAUAUUGGACAAUGGGCGCAAGCCUGAUCCAGCCAUGCCGCGUGUGUGAAGAAGGCCUUCGGGUUGUAAAGCACUUUCAGCGAGGAGGAAGGGGUAUGUGUUAAUAGCGCAUAUUCUUGACGUUACUCGCAGAAGAAGCACCGGCUAA
rnacentral:rRNA from 1 species